GCAUCGGUGGUUUAGUGGUAAAAUUAGCCGUUGCCAAGCCUUGCAAUAACAGGUCAGUUUCGGCUAGCCCCGGGUUCGAUUCCCGGCCGAUGCA
rfam:Ascochyta rabiei strain ArDII scaffold_327, whole genome shotgun sequence.